rnacentral:rRNA from 1 species
CAGUCGCCACGGUAAAACGGAGGGGGCUAGCGUUGUUCGGAAUUACUGGGCGUAAAGCGCACGUAGGCGGCUUGGUAAGUUAGAGGUGAAAGCCUGGAGCUCAACUCCAGAAUUGCCUUUAAGACUGCCGAGCUAGCAGGUGAGAGAGGUAAGUGGAAUUCCGAGUGUAGAGGUGAAAUUCGUAGAUAUUCGGAAGAACACCAGUGGCGAAGGCGGCUUACUGGCUCAUACUGGACGCUGAGGUGCGAAAGCGUGGGGAGCAAACAGGAUUAGAUACCCCCGUAGUCCCUGUCUCUUAUAC